AACGCGAAGAACCUUACCUACCCUUGACAUGUGCGGAAUCCUCCAGAGAUGGAGGAGUGCCCGAAAGGGAACCGCAACACAGGUGCUGCAUGGCUGUCGUCAGCUCGUGUCGUGAGAUGUUGGGUUAAGUCCCGCAACGAGCGCAACCCUUGCCAUUAGUUGCUACAUUCAGCUGAGCACUCUAAUGGGACUGCCGGUGACAAACCGGAGGAAGGUGGGGAUGACGUCAAGUCCUCAUGGCCCUUAUGGGUAGGGCUACACACGUCAUACAAUGGCGCGUACAGAGGGUCGCCAACCCGCGAGGGGGAGCCAAUCCCAGAAAGCGCGUCGUAGUCCGGAUUGAAGUCUGCAACUCGACUUCAUGAAGUCGGAAUCGCUAGUAAUCGCGGAUCAGCAUGUCGCGGUGAAUACGUUCCCGGGCCUUGUACACACCG
rnacentral:rRNA from 1 species